rnacentral:rRNA from 1 species
UGUCCUGGACCCGAAGCGGGAUGAUCUAGCCCUGGGCAGGUUGAAGCGCGGGUAAGACCGCGUGGAGGACCGAACCCACCUGGGUUGAAAACCGGGGGGAUGACCUGGGGCUAGGGGUGAAAGGCCAAUCAAAUUCCGUGAUAGCUGGUUCUCUCCGAAAUGCAUUUAGGUGCAGCGUCGGUCGAUUGCGUCGCGGGGGUAGAGCUACCGGAUGCUUGCGGGCCCUUGUUGGGUACCAACAGCAGCCGAACUCCGAAUACCGUUGACGUGUAUUCCGGCAGUGAGUCGGCGGGGGAUAAGCUCCGUCGUCGAGAGGGAGACAGCCCAGACCGUCGUCUAAGGUCCCGAAGCGUGUGCUAAGUGGGAAAGGAUGUGGAGUCGCAUAGACAGCCAGGAGGUUGGCUCAGAAGCAGCCAUCCUUGAAAGAGUGCGUAACAGCUCACUGGUCUAGUGGUUCCGCGCCGACAAUGUAGCGGGGCUCAAGCACACCACCGAAGACGCGGCAGCAAUCUUCAUGGUUGCUGGGUAGGAGAGCGUCCUGCGAGGGGCGAAGCGGCCGGGUAACCGUGCCGUGGACUUCGUGGGAGUGAGAAUGCAGACAUGAGUAGCGAGAGACGGGUGAGGAUCCCGUCCGCUGGAUGACCAAGGGUUCCGGGGCCACGUUCGUCGUCCCCGGGUGAGUCGGGUCCUAAGGCGAGGCCGACAGGCGUAGUCGAAUGGAUGAACGGGUGGAUAUUCCCGUACCGACCAUGGACCGGCAAAACCGAGACGGUGAGUACUAACCUCCGCCUCGUGGUGGUUCCUUCCUUCGGGUUGGUUCCGCCGCGUGGUGUUGGGAGCGUAGCCGUAGUAGGUCAGCGCAGGGGUGACACGGAAUGGGAGCCGGCCGCGGAGGUGGUUUUCCGUGGUCAAGCACGCAGCCAGUCAUGUAGGCAAAUCCGCAUGGCGCGCAUGGCGAGGUGUGAUGAUGGGAGCCUUUUGGGCUCGAUAUCCGGUUGUCCAGGCCGUCGAGAAAAGCCUCGGCGUGAGGGCCAUGGCCGCCCGUACCCCAAACCGACACUGGUGGUCAGGUAGAGAAUACCAAGGCGAUCGAGCGAAUCCUGGUCAAGGAACUCGGCAAAUCACUCCCGUGCCUUCGGUAUAAGGGAGACCCCUGAUGGUGAUGGAACUUGCUUCCGGAGCUUUCGGGGGUGGCACAGACCAGGGGGUAGCGACUGUUUACCAAAAACACAGGUGCAUGCGAAGGCGCAAGCCGCUGUAUAUGCACUGACGCCUGCCCGGUGCCGGAAGGUUAAGAGGAUCCGUCAGCCCUCGGGUGAAGCGGUGAAUUCAAGCCCCGGUAAACGGCGGUGGUAACUAUAACCAUCCUAAGGUAGCGAAAUUCCUUGUCGGGUAAGUUCCGACCUGCACGAAUGGCGUAACGACUUCCCCACUGUCUCGACCAGGAGCUCGGCGAAAUUGCAGUACGAGUAAAGAUGCUCGUUAAGCGCAGAAGGACGAAAAGACCCCGGGACCUUUACUAUACCUUGGUAUUGGCGUUAGGCGCGGAUUGUGUAGCAUAGGCGGGAGGCUUCGAAGCGGUGGCGCCAGCCAUCGUGGAGCCGCAAGGUGAAAUACCGCUCUGUUCUCGUUUGACGUCUCACCUCGAACAGUCAUCCUGUUCAGGGACAGUGCCUGGCGGGUAGUUUAACUGGGGCGGUUGCCUCCCAAAGAGUAACGGAGGCGCUCAAAGGUCCGCUCAGCCCGGUUGGCAAUCGGGUGUCGAGUGUAAUCGCACAAGCGGGCUUGACUGCGAGGACGACGGUCCGAGCAGGGACGAAAGUCGGAGAUAGUGAUCCGGUGCCGGCGCACGGGCGCGGCAUCGCUCAACGGAUAAAAGGUACCCCGGGGAUAACAGGCUGAUCAUUCCCAAGAGUCCAUAUCGACGGGAUGGUUUGGCACCUCGAUGUCGGCUCGUCGCAUCCUGGGGCUGGAGCAGGUCCCAAGGGUUCGGCUGUUCGCCGAUUAAAGCGGCACGCGAGCUGGGUUCAGAACGUCGUGAGACAGUUUGGUCUCUAUCCUCUGCGCUCGUUGGAAUCCUGAGGAGGCCUGCCCAUAGUACGAGAGGACCUGGGUGGACGAACCUCUGGUAUGCCGGUUGUCGCGCCAGCGGCACGGCCGGUUGGCUACGUUCGGGAGGGAUAACCGCUGAAAGCAUCUAAGCGGGAAGCCUGCUCCAAGAUUAGG